GGGAGGAUAUCAUGUCAAUGUUGCCAAGACAUCAGAUAAACAAUAUGGUUCUGAAUUAUAUGGUCUUUUUUUUCAACAAAUUAAGGCCACCUAGCUUUGAUGUCUAUUGCAUAAAUGCUUUUGUUUUGGGAGAGAUGUUCUCACAUUGGGGACACUUGGUCAAAAGAAAGAAAAAAAGUUAUGUACUUCUUCUCGAUGAUUUUGGAAAGAAUGGUGACAGCUUCUUUGAGCAAAAGGAAAUUCCAAAACAUAGAUGGGUGAGUAAAACUAAAACUAUUCUCUAUGUAUUGUGUUAAUUUUUUUGUUUGUGCCAGAGCUAUAUUUGCUAUGUAUUUAUUUUGUCGGUGUCAUGCUAUUUGUGGAUUAAUUUCAUUCCUUCCCUGUCAUAGUUGAAACUUCUCUACCAUAGUUGAAUCCCUUAAGAUUAUAGUACUAGACCCAAAAUGUUUACCUUUAUUUAAUUCUGGGUGUGUCUAUUCCCUGUGCUUUGCACUUUCUUCAG